rnacentral:rRNA from 1 species
UACGGGGGGAGCAAGCGUUACUCGGAAUUAUUGGGCGUAAAGGGCGCGUAGGCGAUCCUGUAAGUCUAUUGUGAAAUCCCAGGGCUUAACCCUGGAAUGGCAAGAGAAACUGCUGGAAUUGAGUUCCGGAGAGGAAGGCAGAAUUCCCGGUGUAGCGGUGAAAUGCGUAGAUAUCGGGAGGAAUACCAGUGGCGAAGGCGGCCUUCUGGACGGAUACUGACGCUGAGGCGCGAAAGCCAGGGGAGCAAACGGG